rnacentral:rRNA from 1 species
UACGUAGGGAGCAAGCGUUGUUCGGAUUUACUGGGCGUAAAGGGCGCGUAGGCGGCAUGACAAGUCACUUGUGAAAUCUCUGGGCUUAACCCAGAACGGCCAAGUGAUACUGUCGCGCUAGAGUGCGGAAGGGGCAAUCGGAAUUCUCGGUGUAGCGGUGAAAUGCGUAGAUAUCGAGAGGAACACCUGAGGUGAAGACGGGUUGCUGGACCGACACUGACGCUGAGUGCGCGAAAGCCAGGGGAGCAAACGGG